rnacentral:rRNA from 1 species
GGCUCAGAACGAACGCGGGCGGCGUGCCUAACACAUGCAAGUCGAGCGCGAAAGUCCCUUCGGGGGCGAGUAGAGCGGCGGACGGGUGAGUAAUACAUGGAUAAUCUCCCUUCGAGCCCGGGAUAACACUGCGAAAGUGGUGCUAAUACCGGAUAAGACCACGUCACCCAGGUGGUGCGGGAAAAGGUGGCUUUGUUUUCGGAUGAGGCUAUCACUUGAUGAUGAGUCCAUGGCCUAUCAGCUUGUUGGCGAGGUAACGGCUCACCAAGGCUAUGACGGGUAGCUGGUCUGAGAGGACGACCAGCCACACUGGGACUGAGACACGGCCCAGACUCCUACGGGAGGCAGCAGUGGGGAAUAUUGGGCAAUGGGCGAAAGCCUGACCCAGCGACGCCGUGUGGGCGAUGAAGGCCUUCGGGUUGUAAAGCCCUGUUGGGUGGAAAGAAGGGUUCGGAGACGAAUAAUCUUCGGACUUUGACGGUACCACCAGAGGAAGCACCGGCUAACUCCGUGCCAGCAGCCGCGGUAAUACGGAGGGUGCAAGCGUUGUUCGGAAUUACUGGGCGUAAAGGGCGCGUAGGUGGUUGUGUAAGUCGGAUGUGAAAUCCCCAGGCUCAACUUGGGAACCGCAUCUGAUACUGCAUGACUAGAGUACUGCAGAGGGAAACGGAAUUCCUGGUGUAGAGGUGAAAUUCGUAGAUAUCAGGAGGAACACCGGUGGCGAAGGCGGUUUCCUGGGCAGAUACUGACACUGAGGCGAAAGCGUGGGUAGCAAACAGGAUUAGAUACCCUGGUAGUCCACGCUGUAAACGGUGAGUGCUGGGUGUGGGAGGUGUAAUGCCUUCUGUGCCGAAGCUAACGCGUUAAGCACUCCGCCUGGGGAGUACGGGCGCAAAGGUGAAACU